UACAGAGGGGGCAAGCGUUGUUCGGAAUUACUGGGCGUAAAGGGCGCGUAGGCGGCCUGCUAAGUCGAACGUGAAAUCCCUGGGCUCAACCCAGGAACUGCGUCCGAUACUGGCGGGCUUGAAUCCGGGAGAGGGAUGCGGAAUUCCAGGUGUAGCGGUGAAAUGCGUAGAUAUCUGGAGGAACACCGGUGGCGAAGGCGGCAUCCUGGACCGGCAUUGACGCUGAGGCGCGAAAGCUAGGGGAGCAAACGGG
rnacentral:rRNA from 1 species